AUGUUGGAUGCCCGACUUGCACAGAAACCUGCUGGUGCAGAAAAGCUUCCAGCUUUGCUGUUCGCCUUCGUUACCUGCAGUGAGCGGGGGCAGGCGGUGCGCAGUGCGGCCGGGCCGGGCCGUUUCGGGGAUUUGGGGCUGCAGCCUGGGUCCUGCUCCACAGCCGUGAGCUCUGCGGAGGAGUGAGGAUGGAGUCUGCCAGAGGCCCGCAGCUGCACCAGGAGGGAAGGCAACUCCCAUCGCCAGCAGAGGAUCUGUGGGUGCCUCGGCACCCUGUCUGUGAGGAGGAGCUCCCAGUGCUGCCUCUGAAGCUGUGCUGUGGAUCCCAGUGAAGCAGUGCUAACAUGAGCCUUAUGCAAUGCAGAGACUGGCUGCUACUGGGCCAUCGCCGGGCUGAAAACGCCCUUAGCACCUUUGAAAAGCAACCAGUAGAACAUUUUUAUUGUCUGAUAACCAAGCAAUUAACUCGUGUCACAACUGUAUAGUGUUUCUUUUGCCAUAAUAUGGAGCUUUUAAGAAGAAAAUUAAACCUGCCAAGCAUCAUUACAUGAUAAGCCUACCAAGCAAGCAACUAUUCAGAUUUCAGUGGCCUUGACUGAAGAACCUGGGAAAGUUCAGACAACUGGAAAAUGUAAGCAUCUGGCCAGACUCCAGAUAAUUUACCAGUACAUUAGAGGUAAUUCUUUGCUGGGUUCAUGUAUACCUGGUGAUUCCUAUUCAACUAUGGAAAUUUUUCUUGUUCUUGUAUACAUCCUCAUUACACGCAAGUGACACGUUAGACACCAAGCUACAGCCUGUUGCUCCUGCUGCUUCUGAUCAGAAACCUGACAUCUUACUGAAAUGGAAGUGAAAACGUGGAAGGCUUUGGAAGAUCUGGGUAGGAAUCCUAUGGAGUGCAUUAGCAUUUGGUGAGCUGGGCACAAGAAUUACUCAGGAAAUUAAAAGGAGGAUGUUAUUUUGAGGUGAUAAAACAUUAAAAUAUGGAACUUGCAUUUGAGUCAGAUCCAGACUUAAUUUUCCCUUUUUAAGCUGUAGCUUAUGAAAAUCCUGAUUCUAUGCCAGUAACGAGUGAAGUCUUUGGGAUAUUGCAAGAGGGAGAAGAGAACAAAUUUGAUGGUGCUGGUGUUGGGCUUCUCAGUGACAUUUUGAUGAAAUGAAAAAUGCUGAAACAAGUCAAAGGACAGGG
rnacentral:lncRNA from 1 species